rnacentral:lncRNA from 1 species
AAUUAGGGAUCAACUCAUCAAAAAGGACCUUGGGGGGGGAAAUUUGGGGGGUCUCACUCUGGAUUUUGGGGUUUUUGGGGUUGUCAAUCAAAAUUUUGGGGUCGUUUUUUAGGAUUUUGGGGCUCGAAGUGGGCGGGGCCCCGAGGAAUUCACCGGGAUUGGGAUUUGGGGUUUGGAUUUGGGGAUUUUGGGGUCAAUUGUUGGGAUUUUGGGGUCGGUUAUUGGGAUUUUGGGAUUUUGGGGUCAAUUGUUGGGAUUUUGGGGUCAUUUAUUGGGAUUUUGGGGUCAGUUGUUGGGAUUUGGGGAUUUUGGGGUUGCCAAUGGAGAUUUUGGGGUCAGUUGUUGGGAUUUUGGGGUCAUUUAUUGGGAUUUUGGGGUCAAUUGUUGGGAUUUUGGGGUCUGUACAGGGAUUUUGGGGUCAGUUCUUGAGAUUUUGGGGUUUUUGGGGUCAUUUAUUGGGAUUUUGGGGUCGUUUAUUGAGAUUUGGGGAUUUUGGGGGUUGCCAAUGGAGAUUUUGGGUCAAUUGUUGAGAUUUCAGGGUCGGUUAUUGAGAUUUUGGGGUCAUUUAUUGGGAUUUUGGGGUCAGUUCUUGGGAUUUUGGGGUUUUUGGGGUCAGUUAUUGAGAUUUCGGGGUCAUUUAUUGGGAUUUUGGGGUCGGUUAUUGAGAUUUUCGUGUUUUUGGGGACGUUGAUGCAGAUUUUGGGGUCGGUUAUUGGGAUUUUGGGGUCAAUUGUUGGGAUUUUGGGGUCAUUUAUUGGGAUUUUGGGGUCAGUUGUUGG